GUGCUUGCUUCGGCAGCACAUAUACUAAAAUUGGAACGAUGCAGAGAAGAUUAGCAUGGCCCCGUGCAAAGAUGACAUGCAAAUUCGUGAAGCAUUCCUUAUUUUU
ensembl:snRNA U6 U6 spliceosomal RNA